rnacentral:rRNA from 1 species
GACGAACGCUGGCGGCGUGCUUAACACAUGCAAGUCGAACGGAACUUCUUUAACCAAAUGGAAUGAAGCUUGCUUUAUGAAAUUUACCCUAAGAAGUUUAGUGGCGAACGGGUGAGUAACGCGUGAGUAACCUGCCCAAAAGUGGGGAAUAAUGUUUGGAAACGGACACUAAUACCGCAUAACAUAUAAUUAUCGCAUGAUAAAUAUAUCAAAGGAUUAAUUCGCUUAUGGAUGGACUCGCGUCCGAUUAGAUAGUUGGUGAGGUAACGGCCCACCAAGUCGACGAUCGGUAGCCGGACUGAGAGGUCGAUCGGCCACAUUGGGACUGAGACACGGCCCAGACUCCUACGGGAGGCAGCAGUGGGGGAUAUUGCACAAUGGGCGAAAGCCUGAUGCAGCAACGCCGCGUGAGGGAAGACGGUUUUCGGAUUGUAAACCUCUUUUCUUAGUGAAGAAACAAAUGACGGUAGCUAAGGAAUAAGCAUCGGCUAACUACGUGCCAGCAGCCGCGGUAAUACGUAGGAUGCAAGCGUUGUCCGGAAUUACUGGGUGUAAAGGGAGCGCAGGCGGGUAUUUAAGUCAGCUGUGAAAACCAAGGGCUCAACCUUUGAAUUGCAGUUGAAACUGAGUAUCUUGAGUGGAGUAGAGGCAAGCGGAAUUCCGAGUGUAGCGGUGAAAUGCGUAGAUAUUCGGAGGAACACCGGUGGCGAAGGCGGCUUACUGGGCUCUAACUGACGCUGAGGCUCGAAAGUGUGGGUAGCAAACAGGAUUAGAUACCCUGGUAGUCCACACUGUAAACGAUGAUUGCUAGGUGUGGGGAGUAACAAUCUUUCCGUGCCGGAGUUAACGCAAUAAGCAAUCCACCUGGGGAGUACGGUCGCAAGACUGAAACUCAAAGGAAUUGACGGGGGCCCGCACAAGCAGUGGAUUAUGUGGUUUAAUUCGAAGCUACGCGAAAAACCUUGCCAGGUCUUGACAUCAAGUGACAGACAAAGAGAUUUGUUUUUCCUUCGGGACACGAAGACAGGUGGUGCAUGGUUGUCGUCAGCUCGUGUCGUGAGAUGUUGGGUUAAGUCCCGCAACGAGCGCAACCCUUGCCAUUAGUGGCUACGAAAGAGCACUCUAAUGGGACCGCUACCGACAAGGUGGAGGAAGGUGGGGACGACGUCAAAUCAUCAUGCCCCUUAUGACCUGGGCUACACACGUAAUACAAUGGCCGUCAACAACGGGAAGCGAAGGAGCGAUCCGGAGCAAAACCAAAAAAACGGUCUCAGUUCGGAUUGCAGGCUGCAACUCGCCUGCAUGAAGUCGGAAUUGCUAGUAAUCGCGAAUCAGCAUGUCGCGGUGAAUACGUUCCCGGGCCU